AGGAGGAAUAGCCCCAGUGGCGGGGCCAGCUCUGGAGCCCUGGAUUCCGCCCCCGCAGUAACUACAGAGCUCUGUGUCUGCAGGGCCUGGAGGCUCCGGGGCAGU
rnacentral:pre_miRNA from 1 species